rnacentral:rRNA from 1 species
UACGAAGGGGGCGAGCGUUGUUCGGAAUUACUGGGCGUAAAGCGUGUGUAGGCGGCUUCGUAAGUCGGAUGUGAAAGCCCCGGGCUCAACCCGGGAAGUGCACUCGAUACUGCGAAGCUUGAGUACUGGAGAGGUUGGUGGAAUUCUCGGUGUAGAGGUGAAAUUCGUAGAUAUCGAGAGGAACACCGGUGGCGAAGGCGGCCAACUGGACAGAUACUGACGCUGAGACACGAAAGCGUGGGGAGCAAACAGG